CCAAAAGAUCGAUCGGGGAGAUUCAUCGUCAGCGAUUCUGGUACGUGGGUGGUUCGCGAUGCCGCGGGACCUCGGUCCAGUGACACGCGUCCGCGCAUGUUUCGAUUGCCAGUUGUCGUCGGCGUGCACUUCUCCCCUAGUAGGACGUCGCGACCCGUUGGGUGUCGGUCUACGGCCCGAAUGGUAGGUUGUCGUGCGUCGCGYMCUCGUGCCAACAUGCGGCAGACCACCGGUCNNNNNNNNNNNNNNNNGGCGGUAUUCGCACGGUAUCGAGCCGCAAAUAAUCGAACUGCGUCCGGCCCGCCGCAAGCGAGGUCAGUGUUUCCCGGAUGCGCGGACCUAGCGCCGUCACCGGGCCUGGCCGGCUGUUGGUCGGUGGUGUCCUGGUACUGGCUCAAACAAUUAUGAAUACCGGUCGGCGACGCUACUGCUUUGGGUACUUUCAGGACCCGUCUUGAAACACGGA
rnacentral:rRNA from 1 species